CAAUAUGCCCUACCCCCAAAAAUAACCUGACCAGGUGUCUGGAGGUGUAGGUCCCCCGUAGAGUACUUGCCUGUCACACACAAGACCCUGGGUUCCGUCUCCAGCACUGCAAAAAAAUACAGUGAGAGAGAAAAAACCAAAGACAGAACCCUGCCCUCCAACAGCACCUAUGAUCAGGAACAAAUGAACCUGGGAAGGGGGGCUCUACUGAUACAGCCCCUGCCUCGGGUGGGGAUGCACGGGUGGGCACUUGGUGCCCCCUCGGCCCGGGCAGCAUCUGUCUCUGGGCCACUUCAGGGCAGGGAGCCAGAAGGAGGAGGAAGGAGCCUGGCCUCCUCCAUCACAGCCUAGGCAGAGACUGCACAGUGGAGAUGAUGAAGACGGGAGAGUCCAGACCCUGCAGGUCCUGCAGCAGCUGGCAGGUGAGCCAGUGGGGUGCCGGGGACAGAGCCUGCCCAGGCAGGGUCUGAGGGCUGAGUGUUAUUGAGUGUUUGCUGUGGCCACAAAGUAUGGUGCCCAUUUUACAGAUGGUGAACUGAGGCUCAAAGCCCAGAGAGGUUAAGUGAUCAGCUCAGGACGCACAGCACGAGAGGUGCACACCCUGCGUUUGGGUCCCUCUGACACUCACAGCAGCCCCUGUCAGAGGCAAGAAUGUAGGAUUACUCAUCCCAGAGCCUGGCACCUGGGCAGGGGAGCCCCAGAGAUGGAGCAAGCAGCAGCCCAGGUGUCCUGGUCCUGCCCAGGCUGGAUCCUCCCUCUACUCGCUCUCAGUCCUCACUCCUCAGUCUUCCUUCUGCAUUGCCAGAAGAAGGACCCGGCCAGGAAGGAGACGAGGCCCCUUGGGGAGCUCACUCAGAGGACACAAAGCACAGAUGUGCCCCUCGCAGCCCCCCCAGUCCCAGAGAGACUGGGUGCACAGGUGCUUCAGGACCUGGCAGCAGGUCGUGCAGAGGGGCCCAGUGCCAGGGCCACCUGGCUGAAUGUCCUGUGA
rnacentral:lncRNA from 1 species